GACGAACGCUGGCGGCGUGCUUAACACAUGCAAGUCGAACGGAAAGGCCCUGCUUUUGUGGUGUGCUCGAGUGGCACACGGGUGUGACACGCGUGAGUAACCUGCCCUUGACUUUGGUAUAACUUCAGGAAACUGGGGCUAAUACCGGAUAGGAGCUCCUGCUGCAUGGGGGGGGUUGGAUAGUUUCGGCGGUUGUGGAUGGACUCGCGACUUAUGCGCUUGUUGGGGGGGUAGUGACUUAACAAGGCUUUGGCGGGUAGCCGGCGUGAGAGGGUGACCGGCCACUGGGGGACUGAGAUGCGGCCGAGACUCCUACGGGGGGGAGCAGGGGGGUAUAGUGCACAGUGGGCGGAAGCCUGACGCAGAAACGCCGUGGGCGGGAUGACGGCCUGCGUUUUGUAAACCGUUUGCGCCUGUGACGAAGCGGUAGUGACGGUACCUGGUUAAGAAGCACCGGCUAACUACGUG
rnacentral:rRNA from 1 species